GUGCUCACUUCCGCAGCACAUAUACUAAAAUUCAAACGAUACAGAGAAGAUUGGGAUGGCCCCUGCGCAAAGAUGACACGCAAAUUUGUGAAGCAUUUUCUAUUUAA
rnacentral:snRNA from 1 species